AGUUAACUCUGUGAGGAAAAAGGACUGAACACAGAUAAUGGAAGGUGUUUUAUGGGCAUCCUCACUGUCAUUUGGCAUCAGAAGGUAUCCACCUCAUUGCCAUCCUAGGGAUCCGAAUGUGAUAUGAAUCCACAAUAAUGAACAGGCUGAUAAAGAUGAUGCUUUUGAACAGCAUGCAUUUGAAAAUAUGCACAAAAUUUAAAGAGCACUUUGAAGAAGGAUGGAGGAUAAAAACAAAAAAAAAUGAAGGUUUUAAUCUAUACAAAGAAUGGGAGUUAACUUUUUGGAGAAAUGCAAUUCAAGUUUUUUUGUGCAACUGACUCUUUUUAUUUUAUAUGUAUAGACUUUAUUGCUAAUCUAUAUCUAUAAAUGCGAAAUACCACUGACUGACUCACUCACUGACUCAUCAACAGAACUCAAAA